UUGCGCCAAAUUUUGUUUUUCAAAUGUAUCAAUUGCGCCAAUAUUCGGAACUCAUUUGCGCCAACUUACCUGUACACAUAUUUAUUAUAAAUAUUAAUGAUUGAUAUAUAUUUAUUCUUAUUUUUUACUUUAAAAGUAUCAUAUGUUCGGAGAUAUUUCACCAUGAAGAUGAUCACCUGGAGAGAAAUUACGUAAGACGCAUUAGACAGUCAAUGUACAGAGAGAGAAUAGAACUUAUUGCUUUGCUAAAUAUUUAAUAAAGAUAUGCCAAAAUAGAAGAAAAUAGAAGCUU
rnacentral:lncRNA from 1 species